rnacentral:rRNA from 1 species
UACGAACUGUGCGAACGUUAUUCGGAAUCACUGGGCUUACAGGGUGCGUAGGCGGCUUAGCAAGUCAGGUGUGAAAGCCCCCCGGCUCAACCGGGGAACUGCGCUUGAAACUGGAGUACUAGAGUUCGGGAGAGGAUGGUGGAAUUCCCAGUGUAGAGGUGAAAAUUCGUAGAUAUUGGGAAGAACACCGAUGGCGAAGGCAGCCAUCUGGACCGACACUGACGCUGAGGCGCGAAAGCGUGGGGAGCAAACAGG